rnacentral:rRNA from 1 species
UCGGUCUGGUGGCGAGUGGCGAACGGGUGAGUAAUACAUCGGAACGUGCCUAGUAGUGGGGGAUAACUACUCGAAAGAGUAGCUAAUACCGCAUGAUAUCUGCGGAUGAAAGCAGGGGACCUUCGGGCCUUGUGCUACUAGAGCGGCUGAUGGCAGAUUAGGUAGUUGGUGGGGUAAAGGCUUACCAAGCCCGUGAUCUGUAGCUGGUCUGAGAGGACGACCAGCCACACUGGGACUGAGACACGGCCCAGACUCCUACGGGAGGCAGCAGUGGGGAAUUUUGGACAAUGGGCGAAAGCCUGAUCCAGCAAUGCCGCGUGCAGGAUGAAGGCCCUCGGGUUGUAAACUGCUUUUGUACGGAACGAAAAGCCUGAGGCUAAUAUCCUCGGGUCAUGACGGUACCGUAAGAAUAAGCACCGGCUAACUACGUGCCAGCAGCCGCGGUAAUACGUAGGGUGCAAGCGUUAAUCGGAAUUACUGGGCGUAAAGCGUGCGCAGGCGGUUUUGUAAGACAGUGGUGAAAUCCCCGGGCUCAACCUGGGAACUGCCAUUGUGACUGCAAGGCUGGAGUGCGGCAGAGGGGGAUGGAAUUCCGCGUGUAGCAGUGAAAUGCGUAGAUAUGCGGAGGAACACCGAUGGCGAAGGCAAUCCCCUGG